GAUGAACGCUGGCGGCGUGCCUAAUACAUGCAGGUAGAACGCUGAAGGAGGAGCUUGCUCUUCUGGAUGAGUUGCGAACGGGUGAGUAACGCGUAGGGAACCUGCCUGGUAGCGGGGGAUAACUAUUGGAAACGAUAGCUAAUACCGCAUGACAACAGUUAUUGCAUGAUAACUGUUUAAAAGGGGCAACUGCUCCACUACCAGAUGGACCUGCGUUGUAUUAGCUAGUUGGUGAGGUAACGGCUCACCAAGGCGACGAUACAUAGCCGACCUGAGAGGGUGAUCGGCCACACUGGAACUGAGACACGGCCCAGACUCCUACGGGAGGCAGCAGUAGGGAAUCUUCGGCAAUGGACGGAAGUCUGACCGAGCAACGCCGCGUGAGUGAAGAAGGUUUUCGGAUCGUAAAGCUCUGUUGUAAGAGAAGAACGAGUGUGAGAGUGGCAAGUUCCCACUGGGACGGUAUCUUACAAGAAAGCGCCGGCAACCUCCGG
rnacentral:rRNA from 1 species